CUCAGGAAAGAAGAAAAAGUACAUUCUUUUCCAGGACACUAAGUUGGUGCUCCAACAGUCUCCGAAGAUUGCAAAUAAGAAAAUCCCAGAUUCCAUUCCAAGAUGGCCAAAUAGGAACAGCUCCAGCCUGCAGUUCCCAGUGUGACUGACACAGAAGACGGGUGAUUUCUGCAUUUCCACCUAAGCUGAAAAUGACAAAAAUAGGAGCAGAAGAUCACAGAGAAGCACUAUCUCAGUCUUCCUUAUCCCCCUUGACUAAAACAAUGGAAGUAUUACAGCAAAGUAGUCCUGAAGACACCUUGGAUGAGAAUACUGUAAACCCAAUUUACAAAUAUAUUUUGAACGAUUUACCAAGAGAGUUUAUGUCAUCCCAAGCAAAAGCAGUUAUUAAAACUACUGAUGAUUAUUUGCAGCCUCAGUUUGGCCCCAACAGACUUGUGCAUUCAGCAGCAGUACCAGCAGGGUCAGGACUUCAGGAUUACUCCACACAUCAAACAGCAUCAGAUCACAGCCGUGAUGAAAUAUCAGACCUAGAUAGCUACAAAUCAAACAGUAAAAAUAAUUCUUGUUUUAUAUCAGCAUCCAAGAGAAACAGACCUGUCAGUGCUCCAGUGGGUCAACUGAGGGUUGCAGAGUUCUCUUCUUUAAAAUUUCAGUCAGCCUGGAAUUGGCAGAGAUUGUCUCAAAGACACAAACUUCAACCAAGAGUGAUUAAAGUAACAGCUUACAAAAAUGGAUCUAGAACAGUUUUUGCCAAAGUUACUGUACCAACCAUCACCUUGCUGCUGGAACAGUGCACAGAAAAGCUGAAUCUGAACAUGGCCGCAAGACGAGUGUUCUUGGCAGACGGCAAGGAAGCCCUCAAACCUGAAGAUAUACCCCAUGAAGCCGAUGUUUAUGUUUCAACGGGAGAGCCCUUUUUAAAUCCACUCAAAAAAAUUAAAGACCAUCUGUUGUUAAUGAAGAAAGUAACUUGGACAAUGAAUGGGUUGAUGCUUCCUACUGAUGUCAAAAGACGGAAAACCAAGCCUGUUCUUUCUAUUAGAAUGAAGAAACUUACUGAGAGGACCUCAGUCCGAAUUCUGUUCUUUAAGAAUGGCAUGGGGCAGGAUGGGCAUGUGAUUACAGUGGGAAAAGAAACAAUGAAAAAGGUUUUAGAUACUUGUACAAUGAGAAUGAAUCUAAAUUUACCAGCCAGAUAUUUUUAUGAUUUGUAUGGCAGAAAAAUUGAAGAUAUUUCAAAAGUUCCUCUGCUUGAAAAAUGCCUGCAAAAUUCCAUCACACCUUUGCGGGGACCACUUUGGGUUUCUAAGGGAGAAGGUUUCAGCCCCUCAGGAGCUAAGAUGUACAUCCAAGGAGUUCUUUUGGCCCUGUACCAACGAUUAAAGUCUACAAAAAAAUAUUAUAAACAGCUGAACCUGGCCAUGAAUGAACAGAAGGAGGAAAUUACAGAAAAAGUCAUUCUUUCAAUGACAGCAAAGGAACACCAUAAGGAACAUGAAGAAGUGAGCAGGCUGAUUGAUGAAUUGCAGACAGCUAUCAAAAGCAACAGAGGUCAUCUCUCUAAACUUGGCCCCCAAUUACAGGCUGAGCAGGAGCAAUUCUCCUCUUAUGUCUACCAACACAUUAAAAGCCUUCCAGCAAACACGCUUGUCCCAGGAGGCCUGCAGCUCAAGGUAUUUGAAAAUGGUAAAAACACUGGAGAGAUCUCUGUUGGUAUCAGGAAAAAAGAUCUGGGAUCUGAUAGCCCAAUUCAGACUGAUCAUAUGAUGGAAAGAUUACUUCUCAAGAUUCAUCAAAGGCUUCGAGGUUCUUCCAUCAACCCACCAGGCCUCAAUUUUUCCUCAAUGCGGCUUUUUGAUGAGAAUGGCCAAGAAAUUAAGAAUCCACUUUUGCUGAAGAAUGAGCAAAAAAUUUGGGUCUCUUAUGGUAGAGCAUACAGAUCUCCACUAAACCUUGCUUUGGGUUUGACCUUUGACCGAGUGAGUGCAUUUGCCAGAGGUGACAUCAUGGUUGCAUAUAAGACCUUUUUGGGUCCUAAUGCUGUUCUGCUACCUGGAUGUGGCAACUGGGAAGUUUGUGAGGGAUUUCCAAUUAAUUUCAACUAUACCAGUCAACAGAUACCUGACCAGUUUAAAAAGGUGGACUUGGAGAACCAUUUUCUACAGAACAAGGUAGAUCCCAAUAUUGUCCUUCAUGCCUCUGUUUCCAUUGGAAAGUGGAGUUUCUCAGGCAGUGAAGCAAGCAGCAGGAGUCAAAUAGUGCCAUCGAUCCUUUGGCCUGCAGCCAGUGUGUGGCUGAUCACCAAGACUGGAAUGAUCCUGAGUCGAGCGAUAACUCAGGGCUGCCUGGCUAUUGGUCAUCCUAUCAGAGUCAAGGCUGCUGAGGGAACAUCACUAGAAGGAUACAAAUUAAUCCUACAGAAAAGACGUAGUGGAGAUGAAUCUCAGAAGUGGGUGUUUGGAACUGAUGGUUGCAUUUAUUCAAAGGCUUAUCCUCAGUUUGUUCUGACCUACCUAGAGGAGCUAAAUGCACAAGUAGAUGUGACCCAGACAGAGAAUCACUUUCACCAUGGUGCCUGGACCACAGCUCAUCAGGAACAUGGCAGAAACUUAGAAGAGGUUCUGCAAGAAAGUGCCAGCAACCCUGGUCUGAAGCAACUGCCAGAACCCUCAGACACCCAUUUAAUGCCAGAAGGUUCUCUUGAGGAGAUAGGGCAGCUGACGGUAGCACUGGUGAGGAAACUGGAAGAGAAACAUCCUAAGGCUUCUGCUCAGAGGUGGGCCAUAAAACAUGAAGGAACCAAUAAGCCAGGGCAGUGGAAACAUUCCAGAGUUGAAAAUCCUCUGUGGAACAAGCUUACCUACAUGUGGCCUGUCCUUCCCAGUGGCCAACUUAAUGAGGAGUUUGAUUGGCCGAUACAAGGACUGCUUGUUCCGAGCAGUCCUCCCAUGAAAAAACCCAUCUGUAAGACAACGGAGCCAUAUGCCCCUGUGCGACUCAGAGUUUUGCGGAAUGGAGACAAGAAUAGAAACAGAUCCCUUACUAUCCUUGGUCCAGACAUCUCACCUGGAUGGAAAACACAAAGUGUUCACACUGAAAAGAGAGAGAAAAUCUGUGUCACUAAAUAUACUGAAACAGAAAUGGACCAGAUAGAAUUUCACCAAUUUUUGGAAAGGUGCACUGAGAUUUUAAAUUUACCUUCUGCAGCUCGGAGAUUGUACAAUGAAAAGGGGAAGGAAAUAUUUGCCUUAAAAGACCUGCAAAGAGAUGAACUGGUGUAUGUUUCAUGUGGAGAACAUUGGAUCAAUCCUGACCUGUCCAUUGCUCAACAAAAGAAACAAAUCUUCCUGAGGAACCUAGCAUCAGACAUUUCCAAAAUUCAAAUCUUCUGUAGCAUACGUAAAAUAGAAGCUCUUGUUUUAGAAGUCCAAAGUGACAUUGUAUCUGGAAGCAAGCUUGCUGUGCAUAAACCUGCAGCAGUUUUUGGCAAAGAGAAGCAAGUUACAGAACCAGAAGAAAAGCAAAUGCAAAAAGAUGCUCUAACAACGGAAAAUGCUUCCAGUGAAAUUCUAGAUUCACAUGCGAGAGCUCAUCUUCGAAUGAAGGCUUGUCACACACUUCUCAGGUAUGCCUGGCAGGAAACUUCGCAUGACUUUGAUAAGGAUGACAGUCUUCCAAAGAAAAUGGAAAAAGGGCUCUUUGAAAAUGUGGAACCACAGAAGAAAUACAGCUGUUCACCAAAGCAUAGUAAAUUGCACAAGCAUUGCCAUCAGCAGUUCGAAUACAGAGAUGGGCAGAUUAUAAGCCUUGCUGCUCCUCAGCUAGUCUUGGGGGUUCAAGGUCCCAGUCUCCGGUCAGGCAUGGAGGUGGUUUUGGUGGAGAAGAAAUCUGAUGGUAGUAAUCAGCGCUGGAUACAUCAGGAAGACAGCAGGACCUUUCACUUGGUGAGUAACCCUGACCUUGUGCUGGCGGUGUCUAUGACCAAGACUGGAAAUGAAGUUUGUGGCUAUCCAGUUAUUGUUCAGAAAUAUAAGCCAUACAACAAUGGAGCUGCCAAUCAAAAGUGGCAUUACAUGAAAGAUAUAAAAGCACUUGUGGCCUUUCAUAGCACUGCCUUGGAUAAGGAAAUUACAUCAGCAAAUUACGCUGGCAUCUGUACAUCAUCUGUGAUUAAAGAGGAAAACAUUGAUCAACCAGGAUACUAUUAUCUCUCACCUGAUGGAAAGAGAAAAACUAUGCUCUGCUUGGCUUGUGGACAAUCCAUGAGAACAGAGAAGGGAUUGAAACAGUUGCUUCCAGGGGUUCCAUUCCUCUGUAUUUCAGGCACCAAGACUCAGAAGCCCUUCUUACAAGGGCCAUUCAAGGUCAUCAGUGUGGCUGAGGUUGAUUUGUCAUGUGACGAGGCUGAAAAAACUCUGAGUUAUUACCAAGCACGUCUAUUGUCUUUACGAAUGAAGACCUGCACGCAAGCUGCAUCUCACAGUGGCAUGGCAGCCACACACCAGAAGGCAGUGAAAAUAAUUGCAUACAAAAAUGGGGAUGGAUAUCGUAAUGGGAAGUUAAUUGUGGCUGGAACAUUCCCCAUGCUUCUUACAGAAUGCACGGAAAAACUCAGGCUUGCCAGAGCCGCCUCCAAAGUAUAUACCAAAGAUGGAACUCCAAUCUUUACCUUGCGUGAUUUGGUUUUAUGGGCUCUAGAUGACUCCUUUCUCCAGAGAGACUCUGAGAAACAAAAGCAAGAUGCAGCUCCUGUUGGAAAAGAACAGAUAAUUGUUGAAAGUAUGGAAGAAAAUCUAAGAAUGAAAGUGAAAAACAGAUUAUUUCCAAAAUCUGUGACAUCUGAUAGUUUGGAUGGUAUAGAUAAGUCUUUGCUUACCCUCAUCCUCAGAAAUCCUAUUGCCAUCUGGGUAUCUUCUGGUGAACCAUUUCUACCUCCAAAUGCUUUGCAGAAAGCAGAAAAAUUAGAGAAACAGAACUGGCUGAAAAAGGACAGAAUUUUGGCUGAUCUAGAUACCAUGAGACACAAAAUGAGACAGUUAAAAGGGCGGCGAGUAGCGGCAUGUCAGCCAGCCACCAUGGUUCCUACCAAAAGCCCUGUGCAGCCUGUGGUGGUUGAAGGAGGCUGGACCGAACAGGCUCAAGAGGAAAUUAAACUCAUGGAACUUAUAAGACAUACAGAGGCACACCUUUCUGAAAUUCGAGCAAUGGACUCCAAAAGAAAUUUUCCAGUUGCAACUAAACCUAUAGCAGUCAAGCCGAGCAGCCUGUAUAAGCAGCCCAACACAAAACGAGUGUGGAUUUAUCUAAAUGGAGGCAGACCUGAAGAUGGCACUUAUGCCUGGGGCAAAACUGUUUCAGAGCUGCUGCAAGACUGCUCCUCUCGUCUCAAAAUGACCCACCCAGCUAGAGCACUGUACACCCCCAAUGGAGAGCCAAUUCAGUCCUGGGACGACAUAGAGCGAGAUAUGGUCAUCUGUGUGUCUAUGGGACAUGGUUUCAAAACCCCAAAAGAGUUAAAACAACUGAUGGAGAUCAGAGCAAAUUAUGUCAGAAUCCGAAGGCAGCAGGGCCCUCAAGCCACAGACAUUAUGGUGUCACCAUCCACAAAGCUGCUGUCUCUGGCACAUCUCCACAAUUAACUCCUAUCAGAACCAUUGGAUUUUCUGCUGUAUUUUGCUGCUGAUUCCUGGAAGUUCAUCUGCUUAGUAGGUCCUUUCUACAGGUGCUCACCAGGAUCUGCAUACGGGGUCACCUUCACCUUCAGAAGCCCAAUUUAAAUCUCACCAGAGCAACAGAGGGAGGUCACAGCAUGACUUUGUGGUAGCCAAGGCCUGGAGGUGGCUCCUUCCAGGGAAAGAUUCCUGGACUUGGAGACAAAGCCCUCUUGAGUCUUACCUUCCUGCAGUCUUGGGAAAGUUGCUUGUUAUAAGACUCAAACGAGAUCAUCAACACAGAAAGAGAAGGACACUAACAUUUUUAGAGUGUCUACCUGUACCAGGCACCAUAUUGGACUUUUACAUAUAUGUUGUCUGUCUCAUUCAGUAUUCACAACCACCCUAUGAAGUAGAUAUUUCUUCUACUACUUUUACGUUUUACAGAUGGGAAAGCUGGGCUUUGAAGAAGUGAAAUAUCUUUGCCAAAGGCACCAGCCAAUAAGUGGCAGAACUGGGAUUUAUACCCAAAUCUGCCUAACCUCAAAGCCUGUGUUUUCCAUUUAGGUUCCCUAGAAACCCCUUGUAAGUUUUCAGUGCAACAGAAAUGUUAGAUGUGGUCUUGGUAAUUCUGAAAAUGAGUUCAUUAGAUGCCUUGAAGUGAUCGUUUUUAUGGUUUAGUUGCUGCUUAUUUGGAUGACUUUCCUGAUGACAACUGAGUUAGGCAAGGAAAGAAAACAUUCUUCAUCUACUUAUAAACAGAAGACUGUGACAAGAAGGCCAAUUAUUUCCAUCGCCGAAGACGCUAAAUUUGGCAAAUCUUCUAAAUAACAAUCCUGCAUAGUUUAAGAAAAAAAAAAUUAGUCGUAAAAUUUGUCCUUCAAAAUAACUCAGUGUUUUCAAUGGGCCUAUUUUGAAGAAUGAACAUUGACAAAUCAGACAAUAGAUCCAUAAAUUCAUCGUAUGACAUACCAUAAUUGAGAGCACUGUUCACCAUAGACAUUUUUGUAUGCUAAUGAAAUCUGUAUACAUUCUCUAGAUUUUUCCAGUUUAUAGUGUGGCUUAUUGGAAAAAAAAACCGCAUAUAUAUUGAAUGCAUGUUUUUUCUCCCCAACUAAAUGAUAAGUGCCUAGAGGGCAGGAAGACCCUUGGUUUUAUUUACUUGGGACAGAGCUCUACCCACAAGGGCUCACUGAUAAAACUCAUCGGUCCCACCCCACAGCAACAUGAUGGGGACAUGAGGUUCAGUUCUUCUACUCUUGGCCUGAGCCGCAAACCAAAAUUACAAUAGUACAAUGGGAAUAGAGGAUUUGCUUUAUAAAAUUUCCUUUCAGUCAGCUGCUCAGAAACUACAAUCCUCAGAGUCAAAUUAAGUGGAGUUAUACUUGGAUAGUCCUCUCUGCUUUUCAGAGGCAAGAAACACUUCUCGAAAUUGUGCAAAUGAAAGAAAUGUCAUAGUAUAAACUGGACAUCUUAUAUCCUUAAAAUAAAUCUUUGAUGAUUAUACAUUUUGGUUUCAAAACCCACGUUUGAAGAAACGCCCAAAAAUUAUAUGAAAUUACUUAUAAAUGAAUUGACAACAUUUGAGACUUCGACAGACAAUCAUGAAGCAGUUCUCAAGCGGAUUUGGUUUAUAUACUCCUUUAAGAAUCUUUUGGAAAACCAUAAUCUCACAAAAUAUACAUAUGCAAUUUUUUUUUUUUUUUUUUUUUUUUUGAGAUGGAGUCUCACUCUGUUGUACAGGCUGGCGUGCAGUGGCACGAUUCGGCUCACUGCAACCUCCGCCUCCAGGGUUCAAGCAAUUCUCCUGUCUCAGCCUCCUGACUAGCUGGGACUACAGGUGCCUGCCACCACGCCCAGCUAAUUUUUGUAUUUUUAGUAGAGAUGGGGUUUCACCUUAUUGGUCAGGCUGGUCUUGAACUCCUGACCUCAGGUGAUCCACCUGCCUCUGCCUCCUAAAGUGCUGGGAUUACAGGCAUGAGUCACCACACCUGGCCCAAAAAAUGUUUUUUCAUGCAAUAUUUGGGGGUUCACAGAGCUAUGGAUGAACUUUCCAAAUAAGUUCUGAUAAAAGAGAAGAUAUUUCUCAUUUCCAUAAUCUUUAAGGUGUGGGGGACACAUAAUCCGGACUUCUCAAAUGGAUGAUUUCUAAAUACAGGUCAGAUGAAGUGAUUCUAACUUUCACUGUAGUAAUAUUUUGUUAUAUUCAAAAACAAUAAACCAUGUAGAUUUCUUAGCA